rnacentral:misc_RNA from 1 species
GCGGCCACGUAAGCAAAAGAGUGCUGCAUCAAAGGCACGUGCUGCUUUCUCCGCUGAAUCAUAUGAUCCUAACCAGAUUCGUUCCCUACUGUUUGGUAGGCGGAUCUCGGACACCCACUUCCCCCAUUUUCUCUUGCGGACACCCUUGAAUUUGGAAUCACUCCUCUCGGAGGGUUUCUUCUCAGUCAUGCGUUUCACCAUAAUUUUCCAAGAAAUGCUUUUGUUGCUCUGUGUUUUAGUAGUAAGUGAUGAGAUUGAAUGAUUUUUUUAAGAAUGAUUUGUUGAGGAAGGAAGUUUUGCGGCUCUGCGUAUAUAUAUGUAUUGCCGCUGGUGUCUAACUGUGAAAGUCAACACAGGUGCGCGUUGAAGCGGAUUCAGUGAAGCUCAAAGAAAAUACCACUGGCGGUCCAAGUAAGCAAAGCUUCUGUUGCUACGCGGGGUUCGCCGCUGGAAGUUUGAAGGCACGUGCGUUUCCGUUUUCUUUCAAUUGGGACCACGUUUGUGUUUUAUUCAUCGUGCAUCAAAUUAUGUAUAAAAAAAUUAAGAAAUUAAUCUAAGGAGAUAAAAAACGACAACGUUUAAGUUAUGAUGUCAAUUUUUUU